rnacentral:lncRNA from 1 species
UUGGUUGAUAUGAUAGAUAAAAUUACAAAUGAUAAAAUUUUCAGAAAUGAAUAAAUAAGGGACGGACCAUUUAACUUGCAGGGGGGAGGGGGUUGCAUGGUGUUUUCAUAAAAAAAUAUUUUGAUUCUGAAUUUUGAGAAAAUAAAUAAUUUGGCUAGAAAGGGGACAAAAAAAAUUAUUCUGACAGAGGAUAUUUACCAUAAAAAAUAAUGUUAAAUUUGCCAAAAAAAUUAUUUGUUGUGCUACUUCUAAAAAAUAAAUAAAUUUGCAUGCGAAGUCCGCAAAAAAAUAUUUCUGACCACAA